rnacentral:piRNA from 1 species
UGGAGGAAAGACAUAUAUAGUGAACCC